CCUACGGGGGGCAGCAGUAAGGAAUAUUGGUCAAUGGACGCAAGUCUGAACCAGCCAUGCCGCGUGGAGGAUGAAGGUCCUCUGGAUUGUAAACUUCUUUUAUUUGGGAAGAAACUCCCGAUUUCCAUCGGGAUUGACGGUACCAGAUGAAUAAGCACCGGCUAACUCCGUGCCAGCAGCCGCGGUAUUACGGAGGGUGCCAGCGUUAUCCGGAUUAAAGGGGUCGAAGGUGUGCAUGGGUGGCCGGGGUGAAAUCUCCGGGCUUAACCCGGAAACUGCCAUUGAUACUAUUUGUCUUGAAUACUCUGGAGGUGAGCGGAAUAUGUCAUGUAGCGGUGAAAUGCUUAGAUAUGACAUAGAACACCCAUUGCGAAGGCAGCUCACUACGGAAAUAUUGACGCUGAGGCACGAAAGCGUGGGGAUCAAACAGGAUUAGAUACCCUUGUAGUC
rnacentral:rRNA from 1 species